UCCUACGGGGCGCAGCAGUGGGGAAUAUUGCACAAUGGGGGAAACCCUGAUGCAGCGACGCCGCGUGAGUGAAGAAGUAAUUCGUUAUGUAAAGCUCUAUCAGCAGGGAAGAAAAUGACGGUACCUGAGUAAGAAGCCCCGGCUAACUACGUGCCAGCAGCCGCGGUAAUACGUAGGGGGCAAGCGUUAUCCGGAUUUACUGGGUGUAAAGGGUGCGUAGGCGGCCUUGCAAGUCAGAAGUGAAAUCCAUGGGCUUAACCCGUGAACUGCUUUUGAAACUGUAGGGCUUGAGUGAAGUAGAGGCA
rnacentral:rRNA from 1 species